rnacentral:rRNA from 1 species
GAGUUUGAUCAUGGCUCAGAUUGAACGCUGGCGGCAGGCCUAAGACAUGCAGGGCGAGCGGAUGACAGGAGCUUGCUCCUGAAUUCAGCGGCGGACGGGUGAGUAAUGCCUAGGAAUCUGCCUGGUAGUGGGGGACAACGUUUCGAAAGGAACGCUAAUACCGCAUACGUCCUACGGGAGAAAGCAGGGGACCUUCGGGCCUUGCGCUAUCAGAUGAGCCUACGUCGGAUUAGCUAGUUGGUGAGGUAAUGGCUCACCAAGGUGACGAUCCGUAACUGGUCUGAGAGGAUGAUCAGUCACACUGGAACUGAGACA